GACGAACCGUGCGACCGUUAUUCGGAAUCACUGGGCUUAAAGCGCGUGUAGGCGGCCCGGCACGUCCGUCGCUGAAAUCCCCCGGCUCAACCGGGGAAGUGGCGUGGAUACGACCGGGCUGGAGGGGGGUAGGGGGAGCCGGAACUUCCGGUGGAGCGGUGAAAUGCGUUGAGAUCGGAAGGAACGCCCGUGGCGAAAGCGGGCUCCUGGACCCCACCUGACGCUGAGACGCGAAAGCCAGGGGAGCGAACGGG
rnacentral:rRNA from 1 species